rnacentral:rRNA from 1 species
AUUGAACGCUGGCGGCAGGCCUAACACAUGCACGUCGAGCGGAGCGGAGGACGGGUGCGUAAUGCCUAGGUAUCUGCCUGGUAGUGGGGGAUAACGUCCGGAAACGGGCGCUACUACCGCAUACUAUCAGAUGAGCCUAGGUCGGAUUAGCUAGUUGGUGGGGUAAAGGCCUAACAAGGCGGCGAUCCGUAAAUGGUCUGCGAGGAUGAUCAGUUACACGGAGACUGAGACACGGUCCCAAAUCAUACGUGAGGCAGCAGUGGGGAAAUUUGGACAAGGGGCAAAAGCCAGAUCCAGCCAUGCAGCGUGUGUGAAGAAGGUCUUCGGAUUGUAAAGCACUUUAAGUUGGGAGGCGUUACCAACAGAAUAAGCACCGGCUAACUUCGUGCCAGCAGCCGCGGUAAUUC